GAAGUAUUUAUUAUUUGCAGUCGCCUUAUCAUACGCUCUACGAGUAAUAGAGUUUCUUUGUGAGAGUCUAGAUAAAACGUUAUCUAUGCACUAGGUUUUGUAGAGUUCUUAGAUAUCAUUUUGUAUUGCGCAAUUACUGAUACCUGAUGUAUAUAAACAUGGAAAAAUUUACUGUACUAUCUAUUGGAGAUGUUCGGACGCAGAAAAUUAAAAAAAAGGAAACAUAAUUUUUCUACAGAAUGAUCAGUCUAGCCGUAAAACACCCGACGCCACGAACGCCAUAAAAUAAAAUGCAGGCAUUAGAAAAUCAAAGCGAUAGCGAGGAAAAAUAAAUCAGUACCCACACGACCUAAGCCAGCGGAGAAAAGGACUAAAAAAGUAGCUAGGAGCAAGAAAAAGUCGCGAACAGCGCGAAUAAAACCGAGGCGAACGACCUGCGAAUAAUAAAACGAAAUAAAGCGCGCGCGCACAUGUGCGUCCGCCAUUUUUUUCUCUCCAUCCCGCUUCCGCGCCGAAAACGUCCCAUCUGUGUCACGCGUGCGAGCGAGAUAGAAGAAAAGAAAGUAAUAGUUCCGUACAACGCCGCCUGGCAUGCUGCCGUGCUUUAAAAUUUUCUUCCUGUUUUGACUUUAUGCGUUUCCAUUUUUGUACGGUGUACCCCAUUAUGUCUAGAGAUAGCUUAUGAUCCAGGCUGGUGCUUUGCAUAGAACUGUAUUCAUAAUAAUUUAUUUUAAGACUGUCUGUAAUAAAGUGUACCAUAAUUAUUG